rnacentral:rRNA from 1 species
UACAGAGGGGGCAAGCGUUGUUCGGAAUUACUGGGCGUAAAGGGCGCGUAGGCGGCCUGCUAAGUCGGACGUGAAAUCCCCAGGCUCAACCUGGGAACUGCGUCCGAUACUGGAUGGCUUGAAUCCGGGAGAGGGAUGCAGAAUUCCAGGUGUAGCGGUGAAAUGCGUAGAUAUCUGGAGGAAUACCGGUGGCGAAGGCGGCAUCCUGGACCGGCAUUGACGCUGAGGAGCGAAAGCGUGGGUAGCAAACAGG